rnacentral:piRNA from 1 species
UGGAGCACUUGAUCUUUGAUGACAUC